rnacentral:rRNA from 1 species
AUUGAACGCUGGCGGAACGCUUUACACAUGCAAGUCGAACGGUAGAGGGGGCAACCCCUCGAGAGUGGCGAACGGGUGAGUAAUAUAUCGGAACGUGCCCAGUCGUGGGGGAUAACGUAGCGAAAGUUACGCUAAUACAGCAUACGAUCUAAGGAUGAAAGCGGGGGAUCGAAAGACCUCGCGCGAUUGGAGCGGCCGAUAUCAGAUUAGGUAGUUGGUGGGGUAAAGGCUGACCAAGCCAACGAUCUGUAGCUGGUCUGAGAGGACGACCAGCCAGACUGGAACUGAGGCACGGUCCAGAAUCCUACGGGAGGCAGCAGUGGGGAAUUUUGGACAAUGGACGCAAGUCUGAUCCAGCCAUUCCGCGUGCAGGAUGAAGGCCCUCGGGUUGUUAACUGCUUUUGUACGGAACGAAAAGGUCUCUCUUAAUACGGGGGACUCAUGACGGUACCGUAAGAAUAAGCACCGGCUAACUACGUGCCAGCCGCCGCAGUAAAAC